rnacentral:rRNA from 1 species
UACGGAGGGUGCAAGCGUUAAUCGGAAUUACUGGGCGUAAAGCGUGCGCAGGCGGUUUGUUAAGUCCGUUGUGAAAGCCCCGAGCUCAACUUGGGAAUUGCAGUGGAUACUGGCAGGCUGGAGUACGGUAGAGGAAGGUGGAAUUCCCGGUGUAGCAGUGAAAUGCGUAGAUAUCGGGAGGAACACCAGUGGCGAAGGCGGCCCUCUGGACCAGUACUGACGCUCAUGCACGAAAGCGUGGGGAGCAAACAGG